rnacentral:rRNA from 1 species
AUACGAAAGGUGCAAGCGUUGUUCGGAUUUACUGGGCGUAAAGAGAUCGUAGGUGGUUUGUUAAGUCGGAUGUGAAAUCCCGGGGCUCAACCCCGGAACCGCAUUCGAUACUGGCAGACUAGAGUUUGGGAGGGGUAAGCGGAAUUCCGUGUGUAGCAGUGAAAUGCGUAGAUAUACGGAGGAACACCUGAGGCGAAGGCGGCUUACUGGACCAAUACUGACACUGAGGAUCGAAAGCGUGGGUAGCAAACAGGAUUAGAAACCCUAGUAGUCC